UAGAGUUUGAUCCUGGCUCAGAUUGAACGCUGGCGGCAUGCCUUACACAUGCAAGUCGAACGGCAGCGCGGGAGCAAUCCUGGCGGCGAGUGGCGAACGGGUGAGUAAUACAUCGGAACGUGCCCAAUCGUGGGGGAUAACGCAGCGAAAGCUGUGCUAAUACCGCAUAMGAUCUACGGAUGAAAGCAGGGGAUCGCAAGACCUUGCGCGAAUGGAGCGGCCGAUGGCAGAUUAGGUAGUUGGUGAGGUAAAGGCUCACCAAGCCUUCGAUCUGUAGCUGGUCUGAGAGGACGACCAGCCACACUGGGACUGAGACACGGCCCAGACUCCUACGGGAGGCAGCAGUGGGGAAUUUUGGACAAUGGGCGCAAGCCUGAUCCAGCCAUGCCGCGUGCAGGAUGAAGGCCUUCGGGUUGUAAACUGCUUUUGUACGGAACGAAAAGGUCUCUUUCUAAUAAAGAGGGCUCAUGACGGUACCGUAAGAAUAAGCACCGGCUAACUACGUGCCAGCAGCCGCGGUAAUACGUAGGGUGCAAGCGUUAAUCGGAAUUACUGGGCGUAAAGCGUGCGCAGGCGGUGAUGUAAGACAGUUGUGAAAUCCCCGGGCUCAACCUGGGAACUGCAUCUGUGACUGCAUCGCUGGAGUACGGUAGAGGGGGAUGGAAUUCCGCGUGUAGCAGUGAAAUGCGUAGAUAUGCGGAGGAACACCGAUGGCGAAGGCAAUCCCCUGGACCUGUACUGACGCUCAUGCACGAAAGCGUGGGGAGCAAACAGGAUUAGAUACCCUGGUAGUCCACGCCCUAAACGAUGUCAACUGGUUGUUGGGUCUUCACUGACUCAGUAACGAAGCUAACGCGUGAAGUUGACCGCCUGGGGAGUACGGCCGCAAGGUUGAAACUCAAAGGAGUUGACGGGGACCCGCACAAGCGGUGGAUGAUGUGGUCUAAUUCGAUGCAACGCGAAAAACCUUACCCACCUUUGACAUGUACGGAAUUUGCCAGAGAUGGCUUAGUGCUCGAAAGAGAACCGUAACACAGGUGCUGCAUGGCUGUCGUCAGCUCGUGUCGUGAGAUGUUGGGUUAAGUCCCGCAACGAGCGCAACCCUUGUCAUUAGUUGCUACAUUUAGUUGGGCACUCUAGUGAGACUGCCGGUGACAAACCGGAGGAAGGUGGGGAUGACGUCAAGUCCUCAUGGCCCUUAUAGGUGGGGCUACACACGUCAUACAAUGGCUGGUACAAAGGGUUGCCAACCCGCGAGGGGGAGCUAAUCCCAUAAAACCAGUCGUAGUCCGGAUCGCAGUCUGUAACUCGGCUGCGUGAAGUCGGAAUCGCUAGUAAUCGUGGAUCAGAAUGUCACGGUGAAUACGUUCCCGGGUCUUGUACACACCGCCCGUCACACCAUGGGAGCGGGUUCUGCCAGAAGUAGUUAGCCUAACCGCAAGGAGGGCGAUUACCACGGCAGGGUUCGUG
rnacentral:rRNA from 1 species